AGGGCACCACCAGGAGUGGAGCCUGCGGCUUAAUUUGACUCAACACGGGGAAACUCACCCGGCCAGGACACGAUAAGGAUUGACAGAUUGAUAGCUCUUUCUUGAUUUUGUGGGUGGUGGUGCAUGGCCGUUCUUAGUUGGUGGAGCGAUUUGUCUGGUUAAUUCCGACAACGAACGAGACUCUAGCCUAUUAAAUAGACGAUAUAUUAUUAGUUUAUCGAGCUUCUUAGAGGGACAGGCAGCUUCUAGCUGCACGAGAUUGAGCAAUAACAGGUCUGUGAUGCCCUUAGAUGUCCGGGGCUGCACGCGCGCUACAAUGAUAAUAGCAGCGUGCAUUAAAACCUUUUCUGGUAAGAAUUGGUAAACACGAAAUAUUGUCGUGCUUGGGAUAGGGGAUUGAAAUUAUUGCCCUUAAACGAGGAAUUCCCAGUAAGUGCGAGUCAUUAGCUUGCGUUGAUUACGUCCCUGCCCUUUGUACACACCGCCCGUCGCUACUACCGAUUGGAUGACUUAGUGAGG
rnacentral:rRNA from 1 species